rnacentral:rRNA from 1 species
GUAGGGUGCAAGCGUUGUCCGGAAUCAGUUGGGACGUAAAGCGCGCGUAGGUGGCUUCGUAAGUCCGUUGUGAAAGUCAAAGGCUCAACCUUUGAAUGCCGAUGGAUACUGCGAAGCUAGAGUACGGAAGAGGCGAGUGGAAUUCCUGGUGUAGCGGUGGAAUGCGCAGAUAUCAGGAGGAACACCAAUAGCGAAGGCAGCUCGCUGGGACGUUACUGACACUAAGGCGCGAAAGCGUGGGGAGCGAACAGGAUUAGAUACCCUGGUAGUCCACGCCGUAAACGAUGGGUACUAGGUGUGGGAGGUGACGACUCCUCCCGUGCCGUCGCUAACGCACUAAGUACCCCGCCUGGGGAGUACGGCCGCAAGGCUA